AUUGAACGCUGGCGGCAGGCCUAACACAUGCAAGUCGAACGGUAACAGGAAGAAGCUUGCUUCUUUGCUGACGAGUGGCGGACAGGUGAGUAAUGUCUGGGAAACUGCCUGAUGGAGGGGGAUAACUACUGGAAACGGUAGCUAAUACCGCAUAACGUCGCAAGACCAAAGAGGGGGACCUUCGGGCCUCUUGCCAUCGGAUGUGCCCAGAUGGGAUUAGCUAGUAGGUGGGGUAACGGCUCACCUAGGCGACGAUCCCUAGCUGGUCUGAGAGGAUGACCAGCCACACUGGAACUGAGACACGGUCCAGACUCCUACGGGAGGCAGCAGUGGGGAAUCUUGCCCAAUGGGCGCAAGCCUGAUGCCGCCAUGCCGCGUGUAUGAAGAAGGCCUUCGGGUUGUAAAGUACUUUCAGCGGGGAGGAAGGGAGUAAAGUUAAUACCUUUGCUCAUUGACGUUACCCGCAGAAGAAGCACCGGCUAACUCCGUG
rnacentral:rRNA from 1 species